rnacentral:lncRNA from 1 species
CCAUCCAAGGACGAAGGGUUGGAUUUGGGGAGCUCCAGAGCCCACUUGGUUCUCUACCCUACUGUGGCUGAGCUGGUACCUGAGAUGCAAGACAGAGUACCCUUUUAUCUUUCCUCUCCUUUUCUCAAGCAGAGUCUCUCCCCAACUCUACCACAGCUUGGAAUGUGCUGAGUCACAUCUGAAGCCAUGAAGUCUCAGAGUCUCACCUACCUCCCAUGUGAUCAUGGAAGGAUGCGUGGAGACGAAGCCUCUGUCAGUGUGGGUUGCUGUUGGACUCCAUGAUCAGAGACUCUCUGCCCACGUCAUUUUGUAGUGAGACUGUGCCCUAUACAUGAACCUAUUUGCCAGACCCAUCAAGUGAAUUCCGUGAUUCUUAUGAAAAAGCUAAGUUUAUUUCAAAGUUUUAGUAGAACACAUUGAAAAUAGUCAUCACUUAUUGUGCUCAGAGCCACUUCAUUGAUUUUAUUUCUUAAGCUAGAUAGCUAUCAACUACAAAGUCAGCCUUCUGGGAAGAAACCUGUAUGUCAUGAAAUCAGCAUGAAUUUUAGGUUAAGACAAAUCUGCAUUUCAAUCUUUGCUUGGCCAUUUAGAGUUUUGCAAUUAUGGGUGGUUCCAUGGCCUAACUGAGCUUCAGUUUCCUUAUUUGUGAAAUUGGGUUAAUACAACUAUUACAGAUUAGCACAAAUGAAGUAUAUGUAGCAAGCAUUCAAAACACAUUACAAUUCCUUGCUUAUUCUUUAGCCUUUUUGGUUUCUUCAUGUUUAGCCCAUGUAAAGUGAAGUAAAUCAAAUAAACCAUCGCUGAUUUUGGGUGAAGAAAUGAAACCCCAGAGCCCAGAAUUAGUACAGAUCUGGUGGUAUAACUCUAUGCUGAGCUAUACCAUCUACAUCCCUUAAUUACACUUCUAGGUUCUGACCACUAAAGUGCUGGGAUUAUGUUAAAUUCAGUUGGUGAGGAUGAAACAUAGAGCUAUGAGCUCAUCAGUAAUCUCCCCAGUCAAGCCUUCCACAUCAUUGUUUUUGCCUUUUUAGGCUCAAGAGGUUAAUGACAUUUUUUUAAAAAAUGAUUUUUCAAGUGCUUGAAGAUUACAGUUAAACUGGAUAUAUAAUCUGCUCCACUUUUGACCCUAAAAAACUGUAAAAUGCAGAAAUGUAACAUAGCGAUCUUAUCCUAACUCAGAUAAAUUUGCUAAAACACACACAUAUACUUUUGUUAUUUACAUUGGGAAAAACAAUUCUAAAUUCAAUCCUGGAUAAGUAUUUUUAAACGCAAACUUUAUGACCCAAUUCUGUUUCUACUGAACAGUGAGCUCAGGAGCAAGUGUUCAGGGAUAUGAUAAAAUCUGUAUGAUUUGAAGGAGAAAAUACGCCCGUAGUGAAAGAUAUGGGAAGAAGUUCUCACAAAUGGGAGAGAAAUUGAUUCUUUUCUUAUCAAAUUUUGUAGGAUGAGAUGCAGAUCUGAUUUCUAGGUAUUGCAGAUCAUGAGACUGAAAAAUUCAUAGGAUGCUUUAUUUUCUCCUCUUUCUUUCGCUACCUGGCAAACUGUUGGCCUGGGGUCUGGGAAGCCAUCUCUGUGUUGAGCCCCCAACCUGCUCUCCAUGAAGUUCCAAGAAGGUAACCUGACCGCGUUGGUCUUACCCCUCUGAUUAUACAGUGCCAUUAGACCUGUGAGAGGGGCUGUGACAGUGGAACCCGAAUGAAGACAGGAAAAGUCUGUAGAGGACUGAUGGUUAUGUUCACCAUUCAAAUUGCAAGAAAACCAAUAAGAAGUCAGUAAAGUGCAUUCAAAGAGAAAGGUGGGACUCGUGAAGAUGACUGCCUUUUCACUUAACUGUGUCCUCAUAUGGAAGAGAGGAGAAAAGAGGAGAGGAGGGGAGAGGCAAGUUCUCUUGUGUUUCUUCUUACAAAGCACAAAUGCCAUUAUGAGGGCCCCACCCUCAGGACCUCAUCUAAUCCUAAUUUCCUCCCAAAAUUAAAUCUCAAAUGUCAUCACAUUGUGGUUAGGAGUCAACACAUAAUUGGGGGUCAUGGUGGGGGUAAGUCACAAACAAUCAUUCUGUAGCAAUUAUUGAUCUUAAUGGAUUUAGGACUAAUGCUACUUAUUUCUCCAGUGAGUUUUAAUAAUGUGUAUCUUUCAAGCAAUUGUUCAUUUCAUUUAAAUAAUCAGUUUUGGGGCCAAAAAUUGUUCAUGCUAUUUCUUUUCUUUUUAUUUUAAUAUCCUUGGGAACAGUAGUAAUGCUCUUUAAUUCAUUUUUAAUAUUAAUUGUUGUCUUCUUCCUUUUUUAUAGUUACUUGGCAAAAAGUUCAUAAACUUUAUUGAUGUUUUCAAAUAAUUAGCUUAAAAAUAUUUUUUGAGAAAGGGUCUUACUCUGUCACUCAGGCUGGAGUGCAGUGGUGUGAUCAUGGCUAACUGUAUCCUUGACCUCCUGGGCUCAAGCAAUCCUCCCACCUGAGUCUCCUGAGUUGCUGGGACCAUUGGUGCACACCACCAUGCCUGCUAUUUUUUUUUAAUUUAUUUUUAUUUUGUAGAGACGGGGCUUCACUAUGUUGCUUACUCUGGGUCUCAAACUCCUGGGCUCAAGUGAACCUCCCAUCUCGGCCUCUCAAAGUGCUGGGAUUAUAGGUGUGAGCCACCAUGCCAGGCCAGAAUUAGCUUUUGUUUUCAUUAAUUUUUACUAUUGUUUUCCUAUUUUCAAGUUCAUUGUUCUGCUCAAAUUUUUAUUACUUAUUUUCUCCUGUUUGCUUUUUAGACUUAGAUGCUCUUUCUUCUUUAGUUUACUUAGGUGGAAAUUUAGGUGAGUGGGU